AAAAGAGCUCAGUUUGUUGAAUUUCUAGUGUAUGCUUCAUUGGUUUAGUUAGCAGUUACUGUUUUGUGACCUCUAGAAGUCUUCAAAUCUUGGGUGUUGCGACUUCCAAUUAGACAUUUCUGUUUUUUGGACGGUCUUCACCGAUGUUUUGAUCGAUUGUUUUGUCAACUGACCCAGUCCUUACCUUGAAAUGUUUGUUUCUUUUCCAUUUAAGUGUCCCAUUGAAGGUGUCUUAGACCUUGAGUGACUUAAGAAGUUUAGCAGAGAAGAGAAUUCUAGCAGCCAUUGACUAUAUUUUUAGCUUGUUAGUAGGGUUAUUUUUGAAAGCCAUUGGCGCCCGACUGGUUUGAGUUGAUGGCAGAAAAGCAAUGGUCUUGCAGCAAGUUGGCUUUUAUUCCUGAGAUAAACGUAUUUUUAUGGAUCAGGAUCGAUUAUAAAACUGUGGAGCUGACCUUGUAAUUUUCCAGAAAGGCUGGAAAGUUCUAGGCUGUUUUGCUUUGGAUAAAAAUAACUGUCACCAAGGUAUAUAAAGACCUUUUAUAUCAAUGCAUUUGAGUGGAGCUGAAGUCGGACGUCAGGAUUGUAGAAUUCAAACCAGGUAGAAAAUAAUGGCUGGUGGUAUCUAGGUAUUCUUUGAAUGUUCAGAAGUUGCGUAACUAAUGGCUUUCAAGAGCUGCAGAGAAUUAUUAAGAUUGCAUCAGGUUUUGGGAACAGAAGAUUCAGCAGGACCCAGGAGAAAACAAGUUAAUUGCUUAAGAUUUGAAGAAUGGAUGUGCUGAAGAAUGGGUGCAUGAAAUGCUCGAUACUCACUGAAGCACUGAGUCCAGACAAAGGAAGAAUCCCAAAGGGAGGCCACCAGUUCCAAAUCAAGAUGGCUGACUGAGGGGUUGAGGAAAUGAACUAAGGCAUGGUUGCUGAGUAUGUCCAUCCAAGACAGGGGCCCUUUAGCAUGGACCACGGUGGUACCUAUACCAGAGAAGAUGGGGGCCAAAGAGGAUCUGAUAAGGGAUUAUUAUUAAAUAAUAAUAAUAAUAAUUAAAUUAUUCCUCUUGUAUUAGAGCUCACUUGGGGUGGGUGAAGGGGUCGAAAGGGGCGGCUCGCUUGUUUAAACCAGGAAUGUAUGGAUGUAUAUAUUUGUCCCUGAUUUACUGGGAAGAUGUGCAAUGCUGUUUUACAUGGCUUAAAUAAAAGUGUUUUUUACAGUUUUA